rnacentral:rRNA from 1 species
AGAGCACAGGGUGGAUGCCCAGGCACCAAACGCCGAUGAAAGACGUGGCAAGCUGCGAAAAGUCACGGGGAACCGCAAGCAGGUAGUGAUCCGUGAACGUCUGAAUGGGGAAACCCGGCGGGUUAACAGCCCGUCACUAUUAACUGAAUCAAUAGGUUAAUAGGGGGAACGCGGGGAACUGAAACAUCUCAGUACCCGUAGGAAGAGAAAAUAAAGAAUGAUUUCCUAAGUAGCGGCGAGCGAACGGGAAAGAGGCCAAACCGAAGGGCUUGCUCUUCGGGGUUGUGGAUCAGCAAAAAGGACGGAAGACCUUAGCAGAAGAGGAUUGGAAAGUCCCGCCAGAGAGGGUAAAAGCCCCUUACGCGAAAAGGUCAAACGACGAGCUGACACCAGAGUACCGCAGGACACGAGAAAUCCGGUGGGAAGCCGGGAGGACCACCUCCCAAGCCUAAAUACGAAUUGGUGACCGAUAGCGCAUAGUACCGUGAGGGAAAGGUGAAAAGAACCCCGGGAGGGGAGUGAAAAAGAACCUGAAACCCUGUGUUUACAAGCAGUGAAAGUGCGAGCAAGGCACGAUCACGUACUUUUUGUAGAACGGACCGGCGAGUUACGUUAUGCAGCAAGGUUAAGAACUGAAGGUUCGGAGCCGAAGCGAAAGCGAGUCUGAAUAGGGCGAUAGUUGCAUGACGUAGACCCGAAACCGGGUGACCUAUCCAUGAGCAGGUUGAAGUGGAGGUAAAGCUCCAUGGAGGACCGAACCAGACGUCUGUUGAAAAAGGCGGGGAUGACUUGUGGAUAGGGGAGAAAUUCCAAUCGAACCCGGAGAUAGCUGGUUCUCCUCGAAAUAGCUUUAGGGCUAGCCUCAUGGAUCAUUGGUGGGGGUAGAGCACUGAAUGUGCGCGGGGGCCACAAAGCCUACCAAACGCUAUCAAACUUCGAAUACCAUACAAUGCAGACCAUGGGAGUCAGUCCGCGAGAGAUAAGUUCCGCGGGCAAAAGGGGAACACCCCAGAUCAACCGCUAAGGUCCCCAAGUUCACGUUAAGUGGAGAAGGAUGUGGAAUUGCACAGACAACCAGGAUGUUGGCUCAGAAGCAGCCACACAUUUAAAGAGUGCGUAAUAGCUCACUGGUCGAGUGAUUGUGCGCCGAAGAUGUCCGGGGCUAAACGUGACACCGAAGCGAUGGGUGCGUCUGAAGAAGAUGCGCGGUAGAGGAGCAAUGUGCAGAGGCAGAAGCCGUAUCGAGAGGCACGGUGGACACUGCACAAGAGAGAAUGCCGGUAUGAGUAGCGAGAGGCAUGCGAGAAACAUGCCCGUCGAAAGCCCAAGGUUUCCUGGGGAAGGUUCAUCCGCCCAGGGUAAGUCGGGGCCUAAGCCGAGGACGGAAGUCGUAGGCGAUGGACAGCAGGUGUAGAUUCCUGCACUACCGAUGGAAUGAAGCAGUGACACAGAAGGAUAACUCGAGCAGGGUGAUGGUCAACCCUGUGCAAGCAUCAAGGUUGGGUUGUAGUGAAGUACGCAAUCCUACAAGCUGAGGUGUGAUGCGGACCGAAAUUUCAGUAGGGAAGCGAGUGAGUUCACGCUGGCGAGAAAAGCUGCUAGUAUAUCCAAAGGUACCCGUACCGGAAACCGACGCAGGUGGGCGAGGAGAGAAUCCUGAGACGAACGGGAGAACCCUUGUUAAGGAACUCGGCAAAAUGACCCCGUAACUUCGGGAUAAGGGGUGCCUGCGAGAGCAGGCCGCAGAGAAUAGUCACAAGCGACUGUUUAGCAAAAACACAGGUAUCUGCGAAAGCGAGAGCUGACGUAUAGGUGCUGACACCUGCCCGGUGCUGGAAGGUUAAGGGAACAUGUUAGAGCAAUCGAAGCAUCGAACCGAAGCCCCAGUAAACGGCGGCCGUAACUAUAACGGUCCUAAGGUAGCGAAAUUCCUUGUCGGGUAAGUUCCGACCCGCACGAAUGGUGUAACGACUUGUGAGCUGUCUCAACAGGGGGCCCGGUGAAAUUGAAGUAUGGGUGAAGAUGCCCAUUACCCGCGACUGGACGGAAAGACCCCGUAGAGCUUUACUGCAGCCUGAUAUUGAGUUUCGGUAACUGAUGCACAGGAUAGGUGGGAGUCUGAGAGACAUGGGUUUCGGCUCAUGUGGAGACGGUGUUGGGAUACCACUCUUCGGUUACUGAAAUUCUAACAUAGCUCUGUGAAACCAGAGGAUGGACAGUGUCAGGUGGACAGUUUGACUGGGGCGGUCGCCUCCGAAAGAGU